CAAUAGCGUAUACUAACGUUGUUGCAGUUAAAAGCUCGUAGUUGGAUUUCUGUAUUGGUUAGCCGGCCGGCGCUUACGCGUUGCAGCUAGGUUUAAUCGAUGCAUCUUGUCACAAUAGACACUGGCUUUAACUAGUUGGUGCUCUGGACUGACUCGUUUACUUUGAGAAAAUUAGAGUGUUCAAAGCAGGCUAUCGCCUUGAAUAUGUUAGCAUGGAAUAAUGAUAUAGGACUUUGGUUCUAUUUUGUUGGUUUCUAGGACCGAAGUAAUGAUUAAUAGGGACAGUUGGGGGCAUUCAUAUUCCAAUGUCAGAGGUGAAAUUCUUGGAUUAUCGGAAGAUGAACUUCUGCGAAAGCAUCUGCCAAGGAUGUUUUCAUUGAUCAAGAACGAAAGUUAGGGGAUCGAAGACGAUUAGAUACCAU
rnacentral:rRNA from 1 species